rnacentral:rRNA from 1 species
UACGUAGGGGCGAAGCGUUGUCCGGAAUCAUUGGGUCGGUAAAGACGCGUGUAGGCGGUUCGGUAAGUCCGCUGUGAAAGUCGGGGCGUCAACCCUCGAAAGCCGGUGGAUACUGUCGGGCUAGAGUACGGAGGAGGCGAGUGGAAUUCCUGGUGUAGCGGUGAAAUGCGCAGAUAUCAGGAGGAACACCAAUUGCGAAGGCAGCUCGCUGGGACGUUACUGACGCUGAGACGCGAAAGCGUGGGGAGCGAACAGGAUUAGAAACCCCGAGUAGU